AUUGAACGCUGGCGGCAGGCCUAACACAUGCAAGUCGAGCGGAGCGGCGGACGGGUGAGUAAGGCCUAGGAAUCUGACUGGUAGUGGGGGAUAACGACCGGAAACGGGAGCUAAUACCGCAUACUAUCAGAUGAGCCUAGGGAGGAUUAGCGAGUUGGUGGGGUAAAGGCCUACCAAGGCGACGAUCCGUAACCGGUCUGAGGGGAUGAUCAGUCACACUGGAACUGAGACACGGUCCAGACUCCUACGGGAGGCAGCAGUGGGGAAUAUUGGACAAUGGGCGAACGCCUGAUCCAGCCAUGCCGCGUGUGUUAAGAAGGUCUUCGGAUUGUAAAGCCCUUUAAGUUGGGAGGCGUUACCAACAGAAUAAGCACCGGCUAACUUCGUGCCAGCAGCCGCGGUAAUUC
rnacentral:rRNA from 1 species